UCGCUAAAUCCUAAAUUAAAACAAAGUCGUGUUUUCUUAUUUUCAGAAGGGGAAGUUUGAAGCAGAGAAGAAGGGGGAAAAGGGAGAACACCUACGACGGUCGCUGCUCCGCCGUUAUUCCCACCGACGACCUGUUUUCGGCCAGCGACGCUACACACAGACCACCGUCGCCGGAUUCCCCUCCAGGACGUCUCUCCUUUGCUUUCCGACGAUUGUUUCAAGGGCGAAAAGUCGCCGGUUUCCUCCUUCUAUCUUAGCCUCCUCCGUCUUUCGUCGACUGUAAUCAGGGCGAAAAUUCGUCGGUUUCCUCCUUCUAUCUUAGCCUCCUCCGUCUUCCGUCGACUGUAAUCAGCUCCAUCAUCGCCAGAUUCUGCUUCUGCCCGUCCUUCCUCCUUUUUCUGUCUUUUUCCAUCGCCCCCACUAGGAACACCUUCGUCGCCGCCUCUGCUUUUCUGGUCAACUCCUCCGCUUGUUGUAGAAUUUGUCACCAUGAAAAGGAAAGAGCGUUGGUGGAUGUACGAUAGAUACGAUGGCGGUAUGCUCAUAGACUUAGGCCAGAGUUUGUGGAUGGUGUUGAACAAUUCAUACGGUUUUGUGAAGCUCAUCCUGAGAGCCCGGGCAUAGAUGAUAACACCGUGAGCACCUCCAUUACGAAUAUUUUUCAAGCACAUUGGCGCGAACCAUGGCUUAACUAUGAAAUGGUUGACAACGUUACUAAGACCCACUGGUGGAACUCGUUUAUGAAACAAUACCUUUGGAAUGCUGAUCUUGAUGCCCUCGUGAAGAAGGAGUAUGAAAAGAAGGCACAUAAGAGGCUGAGAGUUCUUCAUUUUUUUCGAACAUAGUACAAGUCGAACAAUGAAGUUCGAAAAGCAGCGAUUCGAGACAUAGCUAUAACUCGACUUUGAGAGUUCCGAUGAAGAAGACGCGGCGGCACACGGUGAAUCGAUGGUGCUCAAACUCGCCGGAAAAAAUGGAGUAUGUGUGAGGGUGACUGUAAGAUGUGACUGCGCUGGAGAGUGGAGACUAGGAGAGAAGGUUUUUGAGUUUGAAAAUGUUAGGGUAAGGUAAUGGGUAAGUCAGUAAGUAAUACGGAGUAGAAAAUUCUCAAAAUUUAUAUUAAUUUUUUUUGAUUAUUAUUAAAAUCCGGGUUUUAGGUCCAGACCUGAAACCCGGAAUCCACUAGGUCCGGUCCGGACUGAUCCAGGUCCAGUCCGGUCCAGGUCCAAAAUACGGUCUGGACCGAUUUUUGCACAGCCCUACUUCCAACUGCUCCUGAGGUGUUCCUAAAGACACUUUUCAAGGAAGUUCCAGGAAAAGAAAAAGUUGCGGCUAACAAGAGGGCACAACAAAUCUCGGAAGCCUACCAAAAGAAGCUUGACGAGUCUUCCACUCAAGAAGGGUCACAACCGGACCCUAACCAGCUAUACUGAGAGGUCGUUGGUGGUAGGAAAAAGGGUGUAGUGAAGGGCCUAGGUGCAAGUGCUAGUUUGUUUUACACCCCCUCUUCCGAGAAAGGCUCGCAAUCGUACAAUACUUCUAUAGCUUCACAUUUGGAGGAACGUGUGCAAGCCGAGGUUGCCGAGCGAAUAGAGGAGGCAAAAGUGCAAAUGCAAGCACAGAUGGAGGCACAGUUUGGAACGCAAUUGCAGGAGGCAUUGAAGAAGGAGCGGGAGGAGGCAGCAAUUGAGAGUAAGCGAAUGAUGGAGACAAUGUUGCAGAACUUGUUCUCUAACUGUUCAGGUGGUCCUCCAUUUCAGUUUCGUAGGGAAGAUGACCCGGACAUGAGUGGUGGUGGGCUUGGUCACCAGACUCCGGUGUCGUAGUUUUUGUUCAUAAAGCUCUUACAUUAGUAUUGUUGAUAUUUUUUAGGGGAAUAUAGGCCUUAGGUUUUUUUUUGUGGGGGAUAUAGGUCAUUUCGUUAUUUUUUUUGGGGAAUAUAGGCCUGAAAUUGGUAUUAUAUUGUUACAUGUUGGCCUUAUCUAUUUUUUGAAGGAACAUAGGCCAUUACUUAUUCAUAUAAACCUAA